rnacentral:rRNA from 1 species
GACGAACGCUGGCGGCGUGCUUAACACAUGCAAGUCGAACGAGUGGCGAACGGGUGAGUAACACGUGGGUGAUCUGCCUUGCACUUCGGGGUAAGCUAGGGGAACUGGGUCUAAUACCGGAUAGUGCAAGAUGAGCUCCCGGCCGAUCAGCUUGUGGGUGGGGUAAUGGCUACCAAAGCGCGCAGGGUAGCCGGCCUGAGAGGGUGUACGGCCACAAUGGGCCUGAGAUACGGCCCAGAGUCCUACGGGGGGCAGCAGUGGGGAAUAUUGCACAAUGGGCGGACGCCUGAGGCAGCGACGCCGGGUGGGGGAUGAAGGCCUUCGGGUUGUAAACUCCUUUCGACAGGGAAGCGGUACCUGUAUAAGAAGCACCGGCUAACUACGUGCCAGCAGCCGCGGUAAUAC